GGCUACUGUGGUUAUUUGAUCAUAAUCUAGGCCUACUAGAGUAGCCUACCAUCAAAAACAACAUGCAUCCCAUAAUAUUUUAACACGGAAAUAGCUGUUACAUCAUUCAGCCUACAGUAGUAGCCAAUGUGCGGUGUUCAAUGUAGAUCUACAUUCCAUGAGACUUUUGAAGAAAAACAUACAGGGCUUGACAUGAACCUGUUAAUCCACUUGUCCUUCAGACAAGGAGGGGACUGAACAUGUUGUUAGAUGUGAGAACCACUUUACCAUAGGGUUAAAGGUCAGGGUUAAUGAAGAAAAACAUACAGGGCUUCACAUGAACCUGUUAAUCCACCUGUCCUUCAGACAAGGAGGGGACUGAACAUGUUGUUUGAUGUGAGAACCACUUUACCAUAGGGUUAAAGGUCAGGGUUCAUGUGUAUCUCUGUCUCUCUCCAGACAAGGAGGGGACUGAACAUGUUGUUAGAUGUGAGAACCACUUUACCAUAGGGUUAAAGGUCAGGGUUAAUGUGUAUCUCUGUCUCUCUCCAGAUCUGAGGGUUAAAGGUCAGGGUUCAUGUGUAUCUCUGUCUCUCUCCAGACAAGGAGGGGACUGAACAUGUUGUUAGAUGUGAGAACCACUUUAC